rnacentral:rRNA from 1 species
GUGGGGAAUAUUGCACAAUGGGGGAAACCCUGAUGCAGCAACGCCGCGUGAGUGAUGACGGCCUUCGGGUUGUAAAGCUCUGUCUUUGGGGACGAUAAUGACGGUACCCAAGGAGGAAGCCACGGCUAACUACGUGCCAGCAGCCGCGGUAAUACGUAGGUGGCAAGCGUUGUCCGGAUUUACUGGGCGUAAAGGGAGCGUAGGCGGAUUUUUAAGUGGGAUGUGAAAUACCCGGGCUCAACCUGGGUGCUGCAUUCCAAACUGGAAAUCUAGAGUGCAGGAGGGGAAAGUGGAAUUCCUAGUGUAGCGGUGAAAUGCGUAGAGAUUAGGAAGAACACCAGUGGCGAAGGCGACUUUCUGGACUGUAACUGACGCUGAGGCUCGAAAGCGUGGGGAGCAAACAGG